CAGCAGCCGCGGGAAUACGAAGGGGGCUAGCGUUGCUCGGAAUGACUGGGCGUAAAGGGCGCGUAGGCGGCGAUCAAAGUCAGGCGUGAAAUUCCUGGGCUCAACCUGGGGGCUGCGUUUGAUACUUGGUUGCUAGAGUGAGGAAGAGGGUCGUGGAAUUCCCAGUGUAGAGGUGAAAUUCGUAGAUAUUGGGAAGAACACCAGUGGCGAAGGCGGCUCACUGGACCGACACUGACGCUGAGGCGCGAAAGCGUGGGGAGCAAACAGGAUUAGAUACCCCGGUAGUCCCUGUCUCUUAUAC
rnacentral:rRNA from 1 species